AGCGAACGCUGGCGGCAGGCUUAACACAUGCGAGUCGAGCGCCCCGCCAGGGGAGCGGCAGACGGGAGAGUAACACGUGGGAACAUACCUUUUGGUUCGGAACAACUGAGGGAAACUUCAGCUAAUACCGGAUAAGCCCUUACGGGGAAAGAUUUAUCGCCGAAAGAUUGGCCCGCGUCUGAUUAGCUAGUUGGUGAGGUAACGGCUCACCAAGGCGACGAUCAGUAGCUGGUCUGAGAGGAUGAUCAGCCUCACUGGGACUGGGAGACGGCCCAGACUCCUACGGAAGGCAGCAGUGGGGAAUGUUGGACAAUGGGGGCAACCCUGAUCCUGCCAUGCCGCGUGAGUGAUGAAGUCCUUAGGGUUGUAAAGCUCUUUUGCCCGGGAAGAUAAUGACGGUACCGGGAGAAUAAGCCCCGGCUAACUUCGUG
rnacentral:rRNA from 1 species